UACGUAGGUGGCAAGCGUUGUCCGGAUUUAUUGGGCGUAAAGCGCGCGCAGGCGGUCCCUUAAGUCUGAUGUGAAAGCCCACGGCUCAACCGUGGAGGGUCAUUGGAAACUGGGGGACUUGAGUACAGAAGAGGAAAGCGGAAUUCCACGUGUAGCGGUGAAAUGCGUAGAGAUGUGGAGGAACACCAGUGGCGAAGGCGGCUUUCUGGUCUGGAACUGACGCUGAGGCGCGAAAGCGAGGGGAGCAAACAGG
rnacentral:rRNA from 1 species